rnacentral:lncRNA from 1 species
UAGCAGUAAGGUUCUCUGAUUGGAUAGAUGGCUAUCAGCCAAUCAAUCAGAUAAUCCACAAUCUGCUCUCAGAGUAGAAAUACGCUGAGUACCCGUUUUAACGGAUGUCUUUUUCCGUUAUAACUUUUAGUUUUGGGCUAUGGCUUAGACUAGGGAAGCUCGGGGGAAGGGUACGCGCUAUUCAUUCAGAGAGGUUCUGCAGUUCCCCGUGGGCGGUGUCAACCGGCUGCUCAGCAAGGGCAACGAUGCCGAGAGGGUCGGGGGCUGCACACUAGCGUACCUGCCGGCGGUUCUGGAGUACCUGGCCUCCGACACCCUGGAGUUGGCGGGCAACGCCGUCGGAACAAGAAGAAGACCCGCAUCAUCCCGCGCCACCUGCAGCUGGCCAUCCGCAACGACAAGGAGCUCGACAAGCUGCUGGCCCGAGUGACAAUGGCUUAGGGUGACGUUUUCCCAACAUCCAAGCUGUGCUGCUGUCCCAAAGGAUUGGGAGCCACUACCACAAAGUCCAGUAUGAAUAACCACGCAAGUUGUAAAAGCCAGCGAAGUGACUUGAAUGUCUAAUGUGUAGAAGAAACAAAACCAAAAACCAAAACCCCAAAGCUGAAAUCAAAGGCCCUUUUCAGAGCCACUCAAUUUCUGAGAAAGAGCUAGUUUACAAUAGAUUUACACAAUGCUGUUUCGUCAAUAAGACUACAGCUUUCGUAAACAGGACUCAGAACAGUUCUGGUUAUUGGGGUAUCCGAAGCAGUUUCCUUUAACACUCGGUAGUAUUGACAGCAGAACUUGAUGUUUCUGGGUGGAACUGUUUCAGCACCUACUUCAGGCUUUUGCAUUUCUGAUGACUGGAUGGCCCCACUGGAUCCAUGACUCUUGACUCAACUGGUCCUAUGGCCACUACUCAGAAGUGGACUCAGCUUCAGGAAGGCCAUUUUCCCUAUCCCUAUGAUUGCUUUCUCAAUCAAUCAGCAGCACCCAUUCCCUAGCCCCCUGCUUGCCAAACUAUCUUUGAAAAACCCUAGCCUCCAAAUUUUCGGGGAGGUUAGUUUGAGUAGUAAUAAAACUCUAGUCUCCCUUCUAGCCUGUUUUACAUGUAUUAAACUGUUUCUCUAUUGCAAUUUCCUUAUAUUGAUAAAUUGGCUUUAUCUGGGCAGCAGGCAAAAGAAACCCAUUGGGUGGUUACAACUGCUAUUACAACCAGUAAUAUAUGACCAUCAUAUGGCACCCAAAUAACAUGAUUUUGGAAAUAAAAGUUACUGCCUUCCAAUGAAAUAACAAUGUUACUAGAUCACUGACAGUUUCCCCCUUUCAAAAUAUAAUAACAAAAUUAGGAAUUCCUUCAAAAGAGUCUUC